rnacentral:rRNA from 1 species
AUGUCUGAUCUUGGCUCUCUUCGCUACUUUCUUGGGAUUGAGGUAUCUUCGACCUCUGACGCCUUUUUUAUUUCCCAAGAAAAGUAUACCCAGGAUCUUGCUCGUGCUGCUCUUACUGAUGAGUGCACUGUUGAGACUCCCAUGGAGCUCAAUGUUCACCUCCGUGCUUCUCAUGGCGACCCCUUGUCUAAUCCGGCGCUUUAUCGUCAUCUUGUUGGGACUCUUGUCGAUUUAGCUGUCACUCGUCCGGGUAUCUCCUAUCCUGUUCAUAUUUUGAGUCAGUUUGUACUUUGGUUCACUAGUCACCCUCUUCGUGUUCAACAAUAUCUUCGUGGCACAAUUUCUCACACUCUGUUCUUUCCUCGCUCUAGUUCCUUACUACUUCAGAUAUCGGAUGCUACGUGGACUAGUGAUCCCUCGAAUCGCUGUUCACUUUCUGCUUAUCGUGUUCUCCUUGAUGGUUCUCCCAUUACGAAGAAACAGUCUGCAGUUUUCCAUUCGAGUGCAGAGGCUGAGUUGCGAGCUAUGGCUCCUUUGACAACAGAGGUUACUUGGUUGCGGUGGUUACUUCAGUAG